rnacentral:rRNA from 1 species
AAUCAACGCUGGCGGCGCGCUUAACACAUGCAAGUCGAACGAGAAAGCGGGGGCAACCUCGUGAGUAAAGUGGCGUACGGGUGAGUAACACGUGGAUUAUCUACCCUUUAGUCCGGAAUAACGCUGGGAAACCGGCGCUAAUACGGGAUGAGCCCGAGAGGGGAAAGCGGUUUUGUGAAAGCAAAGCCGCGCUGAAGGAGGAGUCCGCGGCCGAUUAGCUAGUUGGCAGGAUAAAAGCCUACCAAGGCAAAGAUCGGUAGCCGGCCUGAGAGGGCACACGGCCACACUGGCACUGAAACACGGGCCAGACUCCUACGGGAGGCAGCAGUGGGGAAUCUUGCACAAUGGGGGCAACCCUGAUGCAGCGACGCCGCGUGAGCGAUGAAGCCCUUCGGGGUGUAAAGCUCUUUCGGCAGGGAAGAAUGAUGACGGUACCUGCAGAAGCAGCUGCGGCUAACUACGUGCCAGCAGCCGCGGUAAUACGUAGGCAGCAAGCGUUGUUCGGAGUUACUGGGCGUAAAGGGUGUGUUGGCGGUUCUCUAAGUUUGGUGUGAAAUCUCCCGGCUCAACUGGGAGGGUGCGCCGAAAACUGGAGGGCUAGAGUGCGGGAUGGGAGAGUAGAAUUCCUGGUGUAGCGGUGAAAUGCGUAGAUAUCAGGAGGAAUACCGGUGGUGUAGACGGCUCUCUGGACCGCAACUGACGCUGAGACACGAAAGCGUGGGUAGCAAACAGGAUUAGAUACCCUGGUAGUCCACGCCCUAAACGAUGCAUAUUUGGUGUAGGUCAUUCAGUUGAUCUGUGCCGGAGCUAACGCGUUAAAUAUGCCGCCUGGGGAGUACAGUCGCAAGGCUG